rnacentral:misc_RNA from 1 species
UGUGGGAGCGAGCCUGCUCGCGAUGGCGGCGUUACAUUCAAUAUCAAUGUUGAUUGGGUUGCCGCCAUCGCGAGCAGGCUCGCUCCCACA